CUGUGAGAUUACAUAUGCAUAUAGUGUUAAUGUUAUAAGAGUGUAGUAUCUAUUCACAAAGUUAUCAGGUUAAAUAGCUUGUUAUCAACUAAUAAAAAUGUUAUUGCAUAACUAAUGUUAUACUGUAGCCCUGCCACGAUAUUCAGCGAAAAUUAUUUUGCUGAGUAUCGUAGUAAAAGUUAAGAUAUGAUAUUAAGAAUUUUUUUGAGUUGUGUAACAACAUUAACAGCAAACUAUAAUACAAAUCUAUCUUUUUAAAAGUUUGUAU
rnacentral:misc_RNA from 1 species